AGCAGCCGCGGUAAUUCCAGCUCCAAUAGCGUAUAUUAAACUUGUUGCAGUUAAAAAGCUCGUAGUUGUAUUUCAGCCUCGCGUUUUUUCCCUUGUGUUGGGUCUUUUCGCUGGCUUUUUUUUUACUUUGAGAAAAUUAGAGUGUUUCAAGCAGACUUUUGUCUUGAAUACUUCAGCAUGGAAUAAUAGAGUAGGACCUUGGUUCUAUUUUGUUGGUUUUGAGCCUUGGUAAUGGUUAAUAGGAACGGUUGGGGGCAUUCGUAUUUAACUGUCAGAGGUGAAAUUCUUAGAUUUGUUAAAGACGAACCACUGCGAAAGCAUUUGCCAAGGACGUUUUCAUUAAUCAAGAACGAAAGUUAGGGGAUCGAAGACGAUCAGAUACCGUCGUAGUCCUAACCAUAAACUAA
rnacentral:rRNA from 1 species